ensembl:lncRNA
GGGAUGGUAAGAGAACAGAGUUUAGCUCAUAACUGGGAUGGUAAGAGAACAGAGUUUAGCUCAUAACUGGGAUGGUAAGAGAACAGAGUUUAGCUCAUAACUGGGAAAGUAAGAGAACAGAGUUUAGCUCAUAACUGGGAUGGUAAGAGAACAGAGUUUAGCUCAUAACUGGGAAGGUAAGAGGACAGAGUUUAGCUCAUAACUGGGAUGGUAAGAGGACAGAGUUUAGCUCAUAACUGGGAAAGUAAGAGAACAGAGUUUAGCUCAUAACUGGGAAGGUAAGAGAACAGAGUUUAGCUCAUAACUGGGAUGGUAAACGCCUUAACUAGGUGUGCUAGUGGUGGGUUAAUCUUUGUAUUUAUUUACAGUGUCUUCUCUCCAUCUCUGUCUGUUGGUGUGGAGGUCUGACACCUCUGUCUGUUGGUGGGAGGUUCGGGUGAGGCCUGAAGAGGUUAGGCUUGAGGUGUUGACAGAUAGACAGACAAUGUUUUCUACAGCAUCUAGGGAGAGAGCUGACAGGUG